rnacentral:rRNA from 1 species
UCUGCCCCGGAUACAUUAGCAUGGGAUAAUGGAAUAGGACCCUGUCCUCCUAUUUUCAGUUGGUUUUGGCAGCGCGAGGACUAGGGUAAUGAUUAAUAGGGAUAGUUGGGGGCAUUAAUAUUUAAUUGUCAGAGGUGAAAUUCUUGGAUUUAUGAAAGAUUAACUUCUGCGAAAGCAUCUGCCAAGGAUGUUUUCAUUAAUCAAGAACGAAAGUUAGGGGAUCGAAGACGAUCAGAUACCGUCGUAGUCUUAACCAUAAACGAUGCCGACCAGCGAUUAGGAGACGUUGAAUACAAAACACCACCAUCGGUUGCGGUCGUCCUUGGCGUCUCGGUUUCGGCCGGGGCGCGGGGAUGGCUUAGCCCGGUGGCACCGGUGAAUGACUCCCCUAGCAGCUUGUGAGAUA